rnacentral:lncRNA from 1 species
AGAGAGAGCCCACAAGGAGGCUGAGCGGCAGGCAGAGGGGAAAGGAGAAACAAGCUCCUUGCUGAGCAGAGAGCACAAUGUGGGGCUUGAACUCAGGAUCCUGGGAUCAUGACCUGAGUCGAAGGCAAACAUUUAAGCAACUGAGCUACCCAGAUGCCUUGAAUUCUUGGAAAGCAAAACAGAAGAAUCCCUGACUAGAGGCUUUCUGGUAAGUACCUAUGAAAAGCUAUGAUUCCUAUACAUAACAGGAUGAAGAGAGACGAGUAUAAGCCUCUCUGGUGUUGCAGAGUAGAUAAAAGGUAGAGGCCAUCUGUCAUCAAAAUUCC